CUGAUUUCUGUACAUAGAAUUUGUACCCUGCGGUGUUGCUGAAUUCAUGGAUGAGUACUAGAAGGAUUCUGGUGGUGGCGAUCAGGUUUUCCAGAGGAAGAAUGGUACAAAUAUAUACCCGAAAAAUAUCCCAUUGGAUUUUGAGAGGAAUCACAUUGAAUGUGUAGAUAAAUAUAGGAAGAAUUGACAUUUUUUCAGAAUUGAAUUUUCUCUCAAGGAAUGUGAUAUAUGCAGCUGGCUUCUUUCAUAAGAAAGAAGGAAUUUGUUUUUUAACAUCAGAGUUACCUUUUUCCAAG